GACGAACGCUGGCGGCGUGCUUAACACAUGCAAGUCGAACGAUGAAGCCGGAGCUUGCUCUGGUGAAUUAGUGGCGAACGGGUGAGUAACACGUGAGUAACCUGCCCUUGACUCUGGGAUAACUGCUAGAAAUGGUAGCUAAUACCGGAUACGACCCUCGGAGGCAUCUUCAGGGGGUGGAAAGAAUUUCGGUCAAGGAUGGACUCGCGGCCUAUCAGCUAGUUGGUGAGGUAAUGGCUCACCAAGGCGACGACGGGUAGCCGGCCUGAGAGGGGGACCGGCCACACUGGGACUGAGACACGGCCCAGACGCCUACGGGAGGCAGCAGUGGGGAAUAUUGCACAAUGGGCGCAAGCCUGAUUCAGCAACGCCGCGUGAGGGAUGACGGCCUUCGGGUUGUAAACCUCUUUUAGUAGGGAAGAAGCGAAAGUGACGGUACCUGCAGAAAAAGCACCGGCUAACUACGUGCCAGCCGCCGCUGUAA
rnacentral:rRNA from 1 species